ACGAGUGUGCGAGGGCACAUAUGGAUAACACGGUGAAGCUAACCAUGCUAAGCAGAGUUAACAUCGGUUUUGCGCGGCCACAAUGAGUCUGCAUCCUCUGACAACCCUGGCGUUUUCAAUAGAUCUUGUUGCCUUGCUGGUGUGUUGGAGGAGCACCUUAAGACAACUACUGUUUUCAAAGGCACCUCAAAGACUGUGCAAAACGAACUUUUGGACUGCAUGCUGUAAGUUCUUGAAGAUUACAUUCUGGAGGAAGUAAAAAAUGCAGAUUAACUUGCUGUUCAGGCAGAUGAGACAACUGACAUUUCCACCCACUGCCAAGUUGGUGCUUGUGCUACGGUACAUCAACAAGGAGAACAACAGCGGUUGGCUACAGAGGGUUUGGAGGAGACCUCGAAGGACGCCUUGAAGGCUCUCCUCUGCUGAGUGGUGAGGAUGGUGCGUGGCCGUUUGGGACGGCGAGGGUCUUUGCAGUCAUCACUGCCUUUCCCUGCUGCACGGCACUUCUCUGUCUUCACAUCCAGAUCCUCAUCCUCGCUCUUACCUAACACCAGACAGAUAUUUUAUUUUGGUUUUAUUUUACAACAGAUUUGACUUGACUGCAGUUUUGUGUCUAACUACAUGUGAAUUGUUUUUUUCUGCAUUACAAGCAAGGUGAAAUUCAACUGGAAUGAUGAGUCCCAAUCUUCGACUUAGCGAUUAGUACAUUAAAGCUGGGGUAGGCAGUUUUUUUCAGAAGCA